rnacentral:rRNA from 1 species
UGCCUUUCAGAGGGGGAUAACGGCUGGAAACGGUCGCUAAUACCGCAUGACGUGUUCGGAUGGCAUCAUCUGAACAUCAAAGAUUUAUCGCUGAAAGAUGGGCUCGCGUCUGAUUAGAUAGUUGGUGGGGUAACGGCCUACCAAGUCGACGAUCAGUAGCCGGACUGAGAGGUUGAACGGCCACAUUGGGACUGAGAUACGGCCCAGACUCCUACGGGAGGCAGCAGUGGGGAAUAUUGCACAAUGGGGGAAACCCUGAUGCAGCAACGCCGCGUGAAGGAUGACGGUUUUCGGAUUGUAAACUUCUUUUCUUAGUGACGAAGAAAGUGACGGUAGCUAAGGAAUAAGCAUCGGCUAACUACGUGCCAGCAGCCGCGGUAAUACGUAGGAUGCAAGCGUUAUCCGGAUUUACUGGGUGUAAAGGGAGCGCAGGCGGGACUGCAAGUUGGAUGUGAAAUACCGUGGCUUAACCACGGAACUGCAUCCAAAACUGUAGUUCUUGAGUGAAGUAGAGGCAAGCGGAAUUCCGAGUGUAGCGGUGAAAUGCGUAGAUAUUCGGAGGAACACCAGUGGCGAAGGCGGCUUGCUGGGCUUUAACUGACGCUGAGGCUCGAAAGUGUGGGGAGCAAACAGGAUUAGAUACCCUGGUAGUCCACACUGUAAACGAUGAUAGCUAGGUGUGGGGGGUCUGACCCCUUCCGUGCCGGAGUUAACGCAAUAAGCUAUCCACCUGGGGAGUA